rnacentral:lncRNA from 1 species
GUCAGGUAGCUGUCAGCUGUGACCUUUUGCCACUUGUGUUGUCCAUUCACUCUAUUGACUACAAUACACUCAAAACCAAUUUGGCAAAUUAGUGGAAUAAAAAAGCCAUCAAGGUUAUCAAAGACAGGUGGCAGUUUUGUCAGGUGCUCAUAGAGAAUCAUGAGGAAGUACUGCCUGGUUUGCCUGCAGUUCUGCUCUGUGCCUAGAGACUGGCCCAGAUGGACAGCUGCUGGGACUGCUCCUCUGCCUGCUACUGCAGGAGGGAGAGAGAUGACACCAUGCUGCCUGGUUCUAAGGAAGUUCCAAAAAUACCUUCUUCUCUUCAGGGAAUGAAACAAAUAACCCUUACCUCAGAGCUGCCUACACUGACAUCUCCUAAUUACCUGGAAUUUAGUUUCAUUUUUUUUGGAAACUGUCCUCAUCUGAAACCUAAAACCGCGGGCCAGCCUGCCAUCUCCUUAGUGAUACGAUCUUUCUCCAAAUUUAUCCAUUCAUACAUCCCACUCCAUUGUUGUAUUCUACUUUUGUCACAUACUUAAUUUUCCAAACUAUUUUGUGUAUAACACAUUUGUCCGACAAAUCUUAUGAUUUUAGUUCUAGUAUCCAUGCAUAAUCUAUUUACUUUUUGAUUUGCUGUUUGUUGUUGUUUGGUUUUGUUUUUUAUAACUCAUUCUAAAUGUCAUGGAACACCUGUACAACAAAAUUGAAAGUCUUAUGUGGUUACUGGUUAAUUCUUCUUUAUUAAAUGGCUCUAAAUUUAAAAGGAAGAAGGGGUAAAAUUUAGCUUUUGUCAGUAUCUUUUAUUUUUUCCUCUGGAUCCCUUUUCCCAGUGGCCAACAGUAAAAUAACAGAUGCUGCAUGGAAUUCUAUUUUGACACUUUUCAAGAAGACACAGAGAGCUGAGUUUCCAGGCUUUGUAAAAUAUAGUAGCUUCCCCCCCCGCCCCGCCCCGCCCCGUCAAACUGAAGCUGAGAAUAUCAGAGGCUUUCCUUUAAAGGCAUUCAGUUUUUGAGAUUAUGUUAAGGCUGAAAAGCUCAGCCUCUGAUUAAAUUUCAAACAUAUUCAACUUAAAACUUAAUCAGACCCCCUGGAGUGCUGGCCACUUAGCAAAGAUGACUGAAUGGCGAGUUAUUCUAUUUUAUAAAGCUUGGUCUGAGACUUUCAUCCAAACCUGUAGAAGCAGUUGGUAACUUUAGCAAACAACUUGGUUACUAACUAAAGAAAUAUGACAUGUAGCAAACUUUCAAGUCUUACUGUGCUUCGAAAAGGAUGAUUACUUUCAUUACAGGGAUGAGGUUCUUGGUAAGACAGUUGCUGGACCAGCACUGUGUUCAGUGCCCAGUAACGUAACUCUUUCCUUAGAAAUACACAACGAAUUUCUAGAACAUAGUAAUUUAUGAACGCAUGAUCUGUCUAGAAUAUGUGGCAUAAUAAAAACAAGUGACAAAAUCCUGAACCUUAACA